rnacentral:rRNA from 1 species
GUGGCGGACGGGUGAGUAACACGUAAGAAUUUACCUUUAGGAGGGGGAUAACAACUGGAAACGGUUGCUAAUACCCCAUAUGCUUUCGAGUGAAAUGGAUUUUUCCGCCUAAAGAGGAGCUUGCGGCUGAUUAGCUUGUUGGUGAGGUAAUGGCUCACCAAGGCGACGAUCAGUAUCUGGUUUGAGAGGACGAUCAGACACACUGGAACUGAGACACGGUCCAGACUCCUACGGGAGGCAGCAGUGGGGAAUUUUCCGCAAUGGGCGAAAGCCUGACGGAGCAAUACCGCGUGAGGGAUGACGGCCUAUGGGUUGUAAACCUCUUUUUUCAGGGAGGAAUCAAUGACGUGUACCUGAAGAAUAAGCAUCGGCUAACUCCGUGCCAGCAGCCGCGGUAAGACGGAGGAUGCAAGUGUUAUCCGGAAUCACUGGGCGUAAAGCGUCUGUAGGUGGUCUAGUAAGUCAACUGUUAAAUCUUGAGGCUCAACUUCAAAAUCGCAGUCGAAACUAUUAGACUAGAGUAUAGUAGGGGUAAAGGGAAUUUCCAGUGGAGCGGUGAAAUGCGUAGAGAUUGGAAAGAACACCGAUGGCGAAGGCACUUUACUGGGCUAUUACUGACACUGAGAGACGAAAGCUAGGGUAGCAAAUGGGAUUAGAUACCCCAGUAGUCCUAGCCAUAAACAAUGGAUACUAGAUGUUGAACAGAUCGACCUGUGCAGUAUCAAAGC